rnacentral:lncRNA from 1 species
CUCAACCCCUGAGGCUGUCCCCAGGCCCCGUCAAAACCUCUACCAGAAGUUCUCCAGCAGCUCUUCCUGAACUUUAUGGGUAAGUUCAAGGCAAAGGUUCCAGGAAGUCAUAUUUUAGCCCGCCUCUGGCCCAAGCCCCAGUGCAGCAUGAUCAGUAGUGAGCCGAACACUGCAUUUUCAUCUCCAUCUGGCUUGUGUGUCGAACACACAAUUGAUUCUGAAUCUGGAAAGGAAGAACGGAGGGAGACAUCAAUUCCAAGAUGCUUCCGCAGGGACUCUCCAUCACAAGCGUGAGAGCUGCUUAACCUGAGUCAAGAGAAGGAUGGUAAACUAAAUACAGGACCUGAAAUAGUGCUUCUUCACAACCAAAGUAUGACCUCUUCCCUGAAGAAACCACGUGUUAGCAGCACAUGUUCCUCCUACCACCAGCCCACCCUACUGCCAGCCUGGUGAUAGUUGGGGGUGGAGGGAAUAACAGCAUGAAUGCCUUAGGACUGGGCUUGAAUCUUCUGUUUUGGGGGUUUGGUGGGACUUGUUUGUUGGUAUUUAUACAGUGUUAUACAGAUAACAUUCUAUUAAUUACUUAAGUUCAAUUCCCCUGGAAAUGGAAAUGAUAUCAGAAACCCAUACCUGGAGAGAAAGAAUAAUUAUUUUGUUUGGCUUUGGUAACAUCCAUGAAAGAAUCUCCUUCUUUCUCAAAGCAGUAUAUCUCAGAGGAGGCAGCCUAUGUUUCUGUGUUCAAUUAAUAUCCAGUAGAUUACUGUGAAACUCUUGGUUCUGCUGUUUAAUUUUAAAAUUCCCCUUCAAUUUUCCUCCUUCAAUUGAACUGAUGUUCAGGUAAAGCUAUGAAACAAUCCAAAGACAAAUAAAAGGAAAGACAAACAGCA